rnacentral:rRNA from 1 species
AGUGAACGCUGGCGGUAGGCCUAACACAUGCAAGUCGAACGGCAGCACAGUAAUAGCUUGCUCUUACGGGUGGCGAGUGGCGGGUGGGUGAGGAAUACAUCGGAAUCUACUUUUUCUUGGGGGAUGACGUAGGGAAACUUACGCUAAUACCGCAUACGACCUACGGGUGAAAGCAUGGGAUCUUCGGACCUUGCGCGAGUGAAUGAGCCGAUGUCGGAUUAGCUAGUUGGGGGGGUAAAGGCCCACCAAGGCGACGCUCCGUAGCUGGUCUGAGAGGAUGAUCAGCCACACUGGAACUGAGACACGGUCCAGACUCCUACGGGAGGCAGCAGUGGGGAAUAUUGGACAAUGGGCGAAAGCCUGAUCCAGCCAUGCCGCGUGGGUGAAGAAGGCCUUCGGGUUGUAAAGCACUUUUGUUGGGAAAGAAAAGCAGCAGGUUAAUACCCCGCUGUUCUGACGGUACCCAAAGAAUAAGCACCGGCUAACUUCGUG